GUUCCUAUAAUGAAUAUGCUACAGCCAACAUACACCUCAGAGUUUUGAAUGGCUAGGAGACUGAGUUAUGGUGUAGUCAAACUAUAACACACUCAAGAUGAACUAUCGAUGUACCUCAGGUCAAAGAACUAGACACACAGCUGCAGCAUCGAGCUAGUCAUCGAUGAGAAGGUAGACUUCCUUAUGACUGUUCGAGGUGGUCACGCU
rnacentral:lncRNA from 1 species